AGCAGCCGCGGUAAUUCCAGCUCCAAUAGCGUAUAUUAAAGUUGUUGCAGUUAAAAAGCUCGUAGUUGAAUUUUAGGCCUGGCCGGGCGGUCCGUCUUUGGCGAGUACUGUCCUGUGUCGGGUCUUCCUUCUGGUGAACCUGUAUGUCCUUUAUUGGGUGUGCUGGGGAGCCAGGACCAUUACCUUGAAAAAUUAGGGUGUUUAAAGCGGGCUUUUGCUUGAAUAGAUUAGCAUGGAAUAAUAGAAUAGGACGUUGUGGUUCUAUUUUGUUGGUUUCUAGGACCACCGUAAUGAUUAAUAGGGAUAGUUGGGGGCAUUAGUAUUCAAUUGUCAGAGGUGAAAUUCUUGGAUUUAUUGAAGACUAACUAUUGCGAAAGCAUUUGCCAAGGAUGUUUUCAUUAAUCAAGAACGAAAGUUAGGGGAUCGAAGACGAUCAGAUACCGUCGUAGUCUUAACCAUAAACUAUGCCGACUAGGAAUCGGGCGACGUUAUUUUCAUGACUCGCUCGGCGCCUUAUGGG
rnacentral:rRNA from 1 species